GACGAACGCUGGCGGCGUGCUUAACACAUGCAAGUCGAACGGAAAGGCCCUGCUUUUGUUGGGUGCUCGAGUGGCGAACGUGUGUGUAACACGUGAGUAACCUUCCCUUUACUUUGUGAUAACUUCAGGAAACUGGGGCUAAUACCUUAUAUGAUCUCCUGCUGCAUGUUGUUGGUUGGUAAUUUUCGGCGGUUGGUGAUGGACGCGCGGCUUAUCAGCUUGUUGGUGGGGUAGUGGCUUACCAAGGCUUUGACGGGUAGCCGGCCUGAGAGGGUGACCGGCGAAAUGGGGACUGAGAUACGGCCAAGAAGCAAACGGGAGGCAGCAGGGGGGAAUAUUGAAAAAUGGGCGGAAGCAUGAUGAAGAAAAGCAGCGUGCGGGAUGACGGCCUUCGGGUUGUAAACAGCUUUAGCAUGAGAAGAAGCGGGAGUGACGGUAAUGGGUAAAGAAGCACCGGCUAACUACGUG
rnacentral:rRNA from 1 species